rnacentral:misc_RNA from 1 species
AAGAAUGCGAUAUGCAAUGUGAAUUGCAGAACCAUGAAUCAUCGGAUCUUUGAACGCGACUGGCGCUGACUUAUCUCAGCAUACUUGUUUCAGUGUGCGUAAACAAAUAAACAAAAUUAAUGUGAGAGAUGAUCUCUCAUGAAGAACAUGCUCCCUGCAGCAGUCACAUUUUUAUGUGAGCUGUGGGUUUGUAAACUGCCUUAUUAGCACCUGAAAUCAAGUAAGAAGACCCGCUGGACUUAA